UGGGGAAUAUUGGACAAUGGGGGGAACCCUGACGCAGCCAUGCCGCGUGAAUGAAGAAGGCCUUAGGGUUGUAAAGUUCUUUCGGUAUUGAGGAAGGUUGAUGUGUUAAUAGCACAUCAAAUUGACGUUAAAUACAGAAGAAGCACCGGCUAACUCCGUGCCAGCAGCCGCGGUAAUACGGAGGGUGCGAGCGUUAAUCGGAAUAACUGGGCGCAAAGGGCACGCAGGCGGUUAUUUAAGUGAGGUGUGAAAGCCCUGGGCUUAACCUAGGAAUUGCAUUUCAGACUGGGUAACUAGAGUACUUUAGGGAGGGGUAGAAUUCCACGUGUAGCGGUGAAAUGCGUAGAGAUGUGGAGGAAUACCGAAGGCGAAGGCAGCCCCUUGGGAAUGUACUGACGCUCAUGUGCGAAAGCGUGGGGAGCAAACAGGAUUAGAUACCCUGGUAGUCCACGCUGUAAACGCUGUCGAUUUGGGGGUUGGGGUUUAACUCUGGCGCCCGUAGCUAACGUGAUAAAUCGACCGCCUGGGGAGUACGGCCGCAAGGUUA
rnacentral:rRNA from 1 species